AUGUCAUCUACAGGUGAGAGUCUUGGCACAACAGCUCCAGCUCCUAGCGGUGCAAAUAUUGCUAAGGUGACUGUUUCGCGUGCUGGUCUUCCACCUAGGCGUCGUAGCCCCCACAAGCAAUCAACAGACAUACCCAACGCACCAGCUGUAGCUAGGAGCAGCAGAGAUGAGUCUGGUUAUGUUCCUGCGUCCACACCGUUCCCGCCACCUGCCAAAAGCAAUGUUAUGGAGAAACCGGAAGACCGGAGUACAACUGAUGCAGGUGUCAAGCCGGGCACAAGUGAUGGAGGUGAAUGUCUGGAGUAG
rnacentral:rRNA from 1 species